CUAAUUAAACAAUUGGGAUUCUGAGCACUUCUUUGCUCAGAGAAAUGAUUAAUAAUUUCAAAAUUUCAAAAUGUCAAGCUGAUUAUAUAAACCAAAUCACUGAAAUUUUGCAUUUAACUUGGGUCUUGUCUUUGGUCAACAGAAAUAAUGUGAUACCAUGGAUAUACUGUGGAUUUAUUGAAAUGAAGAGCAGUUGCUUCUCUGAUCACCCACAGAUCACAUUUAAAAUGAUUAAUCAUGCAUUACAACAGAUUGGUUAAUUUGGAAAAUUUUAUUAUAUGAGUUUCUAUAUCAUUAUUUUUAUUAUUAUUGCUUUAUUAUAAUUUAUCUCAGAUACAUGAAGUCACUUGGUGCUCUGGUAGCUUUCAUGCGCGUCCGUGUUAAGAGACCACCAAACGGGCUUUGUGUGAGCAAUAAAGCUGUUUAUUUCACCUGGGUGCAGGUGGGCUGAGUCCGAAAAGAGAGUCAGCGAAGGGAGAUAGGGGUGGGGCCGUUUUAUAGGAUUUGGGUAGGUAAAGGAAAAUUACAGUCAAAGGGGGUUUGUUCUCUGGCGGGUAGGAGUGGGGGUCGCAAGGUGCUCAGUGGGGGUGCUUUUUGAGCCAGGAUGAGCCAGGAAAAGGACUUUCACAAGGUAAUGUCAUCACUUAAGGCAAGGACCGGCCAUUUACACUUCUUUUGUGGUGGAAUGUCAUCAGUUAAGGUGGGGCAGGGCAUAUUCACUUCUUUUGUGAUUCUUCAGUUACUUCAGGCCAUCUGGGCGUAUACGUGCAAGUCACAGGGGAUGCGAUGGCUUGGCUUGGGCUCGGAGGCCUGACAUUCCUGCCUUCUUAUAUUAAUAAGAAAAAUAAAACAAAAUAGUGUUGAAGUGUUGGGGCGGCGAAAAUUUUUGAGGGUGGUAUGGAGAGAGAAUGGGCGAUGUUUCUCAGGGCUGCUUCAAGUGGGAUUAGGGGCAGCGUGGGAACCUAGAGAGGGAGAGAUUAAGUUGAAGGGAGGUCUUGUGUAAGCGGUGAUAUUGUGGGGAUGUUAGAAGAAACAUUUGUCAUAUAGAAUGAUUGGUCAUGGCCUGGAUACGGUUUUGGAUGAAUUGAGAAACCAAAUAGAAUAAAAGAAGGAGAAAAACAGGUAUAAAAGGUCUAAGAAUUGGGAUGACUCAGGAUAUCUGAUUAGAGAGUGCCUAAGGAGAUUCAGUAUAGUCCUGCCAGCAAAGAUUAUUUAUUUACUUCAAGAGUUAAGAGUGGCAGUUUGGGGAUAGCACCAGGAGAUAUCAGCUGUGAUGGCUUGGAAAAACAGUGUAAACCGGCAGUGUAAACAAGAGCAGGGCAUGUAUGAGUAGUUGAGAACGGUGAAUAUGAGUAUGACUAGACAGAAGAUAGUGGGGAUGACAAGUUUUUUGGGGCACAGUCUAAGUUGGUCUGGUGUCUGGAAUGAGACUGGGGCCUAAUAAAAAGGAGCGUCUAUACAGGAGCUUAAAUGGGCUGUACCCUGUAGCAUUCUGAGGACAGGCCUGAAUUCUGAGAAGGGAAGGUGGUAAAAGUAUUGUCCAGUCCUUUUUAAGUUGGUGGCUGAGCUUGGUGAGGUGUGUUUUUAAAAGACCUUUAGUCCAUUCUACUUUUCUUGAAGAUGGAGGAUCGUAAGGGAUAUAAAGGUUUCACUGAAUACUAAGAGCCCGAAAAACUGCUUGGCUGAUUUGACUAAUAAAGGCUCAUCUGUUAUCAGACUGUAUUGAGGUGGGAAGGCUAAACUGAGGAAUUAUGUCUGACAGAAUGGAAGAAAUGACUGCGGUGGCCUUCUCAGACCCUGUAGGAAAGGCCUGUACCUAUCCAGUGAAAGUAUCUACCUAGACUAAGAGGUAUUUUAGUUUUCUGACUCGGGGCAUGUUGAGUAAAGCUAAUUUGCCAGUCCUGGGUGGGGCAAAUCCUCGAGCUUGAUGUGUAGGGAAGGGAGGGGGCCUGAAUAAUCCCUGAGGAGUAGUAGAAUAGCAGAUGGAACACUGAGAAGUUAUUUCCUUGAGGAUAGAUUUCCACGAUGGAAAGGAAAUGAGAGGUUCUAAGAGACAGGCUAGUGGCUUGUACUAUAGCAUAACCUGCCUUUGCUGGUAUGUGGCGAUUAGGCCUGGUGGAACCACCAUCAAUAAAUCAAGCGUGAUCAGGUGAGGAACAGGAAAGAAGGAAAUAUAGGGAAAUGGGGUGAAUAUCAGGUGGAUCAGAGAGAUACAGUCAUGGGGGUCAGGUGUGGUAUCAGGAAUAAUGUGGGAGGCCGGAUUGAAGUCUGGGCCAGGAACAACGGUAAUUGUGGGACUUAACAAAGAGUGAGUACAGCUGAAGGAGCCGGGGAGCAGCAGGUAUAUGCGUCAGGUAUGAGGAAGAAAAUAGAUUUUGGAAGUUAUGAGAACUGUAGAGAUUGAGUUGAGCAUAGUUUGUGAUUUUGAGGGCCUCUAAAAGUAUUAGGGCAGCAGCAGCGGCUGCACGGAGACAUGAUGGCCAGCCUGAAACAGUAAGGUCAAGUUGUUUGGACAAAAAGGCUACAGGACGCGAUCCUGGUCCUUACAUAAGAAUUCCGACUGCACAGCCCUGCACUUUGGCUGUGUGUAAUGAAAAGGGUUGGGAUGAGUCAGGGAGAACUAGAGUGGGGGCAAUUUCUAAAGCUGUCUUCAAGGAAUGGAAAGAGGAGUGGGGAAAGGAUUUAGGAUCUAUGGGGUCAGCUAGGUUUCCUUUUGUGAGCUUAUAUAAUGGUUUUGUUAGGAUGGCCAAACCAGGUAUCCAAAGGCGAAAGUAUCCAACCAUGGCCAGGAAGGAAAGGAGUUCUUGUUUUGUAGAAGGGGUUGGGGUUUGAGAGAUCAGUCAGACACGAUUGGCAGGGAGAGCACGUGUGUUUUUAUGAGAAUUAUGCCAAGAUAGGUAACAGAUGAGGAAGAAAUUUGAGCUUGAUUGAAGUAAUGGGGGCUGUCUGUGAAGCUUUGCGGCAGUACAGCCCGGGUAAUUUGCUGAGCUUGAUGGGAGUCAGGGUCAGUCCACGUGAAAGCGAAGAGAGGCUGGGAUUAAUGGUGCAAAGGAAUAGUAAAGAAAGCAUGUUUGAGAUCUAGAACAGAAUAAUGGGUUGUAGAGGCAGGUAUUGAGGAUAGGAGAGUAUAUGGGUUUGGCACCACGGGGUGGACAGACAAAACAAUUUGGUUGAUAAGGCGCAGAUCCUGAACUAACUUGUAAGGCUUGUCUGGUUUUAGGACAGGUGAAAUGGGGGAAUUGUAAGGAGAGUUUAUAGGCUUUAAAAGGCCAUGCUGUAGCAGGCGAGUGAUAACAGGCUUUAAUCUUUUUAAAGCAUGCUGCAGGAUGGAAUAUUGGCAUUGAGUGGGGUAAGGGUGAUUAGGUUUUAAUGAGAUGGUAAGGGGUGCAUGAUCGGUCGCCAAGGAGGGAGUAGAGGUAUCUUAUACUUGUGGGUUAAAGUGGGGGAUAAAAGAGGAGGAUGCAAAGGAGGCUUUGGAUUGGGAAGAAGGGCGGCAAUGAGAUAUAGCUGUAGUCCAGGAAUAGUCAGGGAAGCAGAUAAUUUAGUUAAAGUGUCUCAGCCUAAUAAGGGAACUGGGCAGGUGGGGAUAACUAAAAAGGAGUGCUUAAAAGAGUAUUGUCUAAGUUGGCACCAGAGUUGGGGAGUUUUAAGAGGUUUAGAAGCCUGGCCGUCAAUACCCACAACAGUUCUGGGGGCAAGGGAAACGGGCCCUUGAAAAGAAGGUAAUGUGGAGUGGGUAGCCUCCGUAUUGAUUAAGAAGGGGACGGGCUUACCGUCCACUGUGAGACUUACCCGAAGCUCGGCGUCCGUGAUGGUCUAGGGGGCUUCCGAGGCGAUUGGGCAGUGUCAGUCUUCAGCCUCUAAGCCGAGAAGAUCUGGCAAGGAGUCAGUCAGAGAGCCCUGGGCCAGAGUUCCAGGGGCUCUGGGAGUGGCUGCCAGGUGAGUUGAACAGUCUGAUUUUCAGUGGGGUCCCACACAGAUGGGACGCGGCUUAGGAGGAAUCCCGGGCUGCGGGCAUUCCUUGGCCCAGUGGCCAGAUUUCCAGCACGCGUAGCAAGCUUCUGUGGGAAAAGGUUCUGGAGGAACGCCUGGCCACUGCACUUCAGGCAUUUGGAAGUUCUUAUGUGCUGGAGAUGUGGCUGGGGUUUGUCUCACAGUGGAGGCAAGGAAUUGCAACUUUUUUCUAUUAUUGUACACAUUGAAGGUGAGGUUAAUUAAAUCCUGUUGUGGGGUUUGAGGGCCAGAAUUUAAUUUUUGGAGUUUUAUUUAAUGUUGGGAGCAGACUGGGUAAUAAAAUGCAUUUUGAGAAUAAGACGGCCUUUUGACAUUUUAGGGUCUAGGGCUGUAAAGUGUCUCGGAGUUGCUGCCAAACAAGUCAUGAACUGGGCUGGAUUUUUAUAUUUGAUGUAAAAGCCUAAACGCUAUCUGAUUUGGGAUAAAGAGAAAGGAGCAUUAACCUUGACUAUGCCUUUAGCUCCAGCCACCUUUUUAAGAGUAAAUUGCUGGGCAGGAGGGGGAGGGCUAGUCACGGAACGAAACUGUAAGCCGGACCAGGUGUGAGGAGGGGAGGUGAUAAAAAGAUUAUAGGGUGGAGGAGCAGAGGCUGAGGAAGAAUUGGGACCUAGCUUGGCCUGGCAAGGAGCAGCCUUGGGAGGAAGGGAGAGGUCAGAUGGGUCUGUAGAAAAGGAAGAUUAGAAAGACUCAGCGACGCUUGGGGUUGGUACUGAGGGGACAGGCGGAAGGGAAAGAAGGAAGAUUUGGGAUGAGUUGCACUGGGCACAGAGACUAGGAAAGGACUGAUGUGUAAAAGAAUGCCUGGACAUCAGGCACCUCAGACCGUUUGCCUAUUUUACGACAAGAAUUAUUUAGAUCUUGCAGGAUGGAAAAAUUCAAAGUGCCAUUUUCUGGCUAUUUGGAACUGCUGUCGAGUUUGUACUGGGGUCAAGCGGCAUUGCACAAGAAAAUAAGCCAUUUAGGUUUUAGGUCAGGUGUGAGUUGAAGAGGUUUUAAGUUUUUGAGAACACAGGCCAAGGGAGUAGAAGGAGGAAUGGAGGGUGGAACGUUGCCCGUAGUGAAGGAAGCAAGCCUAGAGAAAAGAGAGAGUAGAGAAACAGAGGGAAGGGGUUCGGGCAUUCUUACCUUCCAGAAAAGUGGGAAAAGGGGUUGGGGUGCAGAGAUAAGAGGUUGGGGCAGGGAAAUAAGGGAUGGGGCGCAGAAAUAAGAGGUUGGGGCAUGGUAUUAAGGGACUGGGGUGCAGAGAUAUAAGAGGUUGGGGCACGGAAAUAAGGGAUUGGGGCACAGAGAUGCGAGGUUGUGGCACGGAAAUAAGGGAUUGGGGCACAGAGAUGUUGGGGCAUGGAAAUAAGGGAUUGGGGGUUCUUGCCCCGUAGAAAAGCGGGACUUGCCGCUAAGGGUGAAGGAGAAGGGGUUGAGGGGUACUUGCCCCUGCCCCAGAAAAGCAGAGAAGGGGUAGAGACAAGGAGAGAAGGGGUUGAGGGGUACUUGCCCCUUCCCCAGAAAAGCGGGACUUGCCGCUAAGGGUGAAGGACCAAGGCAGGCGUCCCUGCGUGGUCUGACACCUUUGAAACAUGGGUGAAUAAUCAGAGGCGUCCCUGCAAUGAUUAAACACCAAGGGAAGACUGCCUUCCCAGUCCGUGACCGGCGCCGGAGUUUUGGGUCCACGGAUAAAACGUGUCUCCUUUGUCUCUACCAGAAAAUACCAGAAAAUGAAAGGAAUUGAAAUUAAGAGAAGGGAGAGAUUGAAGUGUGGCACCAAGAUUGAAAGGAGAAAGAGGUUGAGGGUUAGUGAGGGAGGUUGGAGAAGAGAGUAAAAAGAGGCCGCUUACAGGAUUUGAAAUUGGUGAGAUGUUUCUUGGGCUGGUCGGUCUGAGGACCUGAGGUCGUAGGUGGAUCUUUCUCACGGAGCAAAGAACAGGAGGACGGGGGAUUGAUCUCCCAAGGGAGGUCCCCCGAUCCGAGUCACAGCACCAAAUUUCAUGCGCGUCCCUGUGAAAAGACCACCAAACAGGCUUUGUGUGAGCAGUAAAGCUGUUUAUUUCACUUGGGAGCAGGUGGGCUGAGUCCGAAAAGAGAGUCAGCGAAGGGAGAUAAGGGUGGGGCCGUUUUAUAGGAUUUGGGUAGGUAAAGGAAAAUUGCAGUCAAAGCGGGUUUGUUCUCUGGCAGGCAGGAGUGGGGGUCGCAAGGUGCUCAGUGGGGGUGCUUUUUGAGCCAGGAUGAGCUAGGAAAAGGACUUUCACAAGGUAAUGUCAUCACGUAAGGCAAGGACUGGCCAUUUACACUUCUUUUGUGGUGGAAUGUCAUCAGUUAAGGUGGGGCAGGGCAUAUUCACUUCUUUUGUGAUUCUUCACUUACUUCAGGCCAUCUGGGCUUAUAUGUGCAAGUCACAGGGGAUGCGAUUGCUUGGCUUGGGCUCAGAGGCUUGACAGUAGCCACAGUCUGGAUAAGGAUAAGCAACUGGAUCAUAACAAUCAUGCAAUGAUACAUCAGGACCCUCGACCUCACAACAUUUUGUCUACCAUAUGCUUAAAAGAAGACACAUUGAGAAGACGGCCAUCUAUGAACCAAGAGGGAGGACAUCAGAUCAGCCACCAUUUCGAUCUUGAACUUCCCAGGCUCCAGAAAUAGCUAAAAUUCUAUAAGGGCGAGAAAGACCAUCAACAAUCAACAUAACAGAUAACUACAUUAUGUGAUAUUUUAGAAGUUGAUAGCCUCAUUAAAAAAAGAAAGAAACAGUAGAGCAGAGUAAGGAAGAUAAUAAGAAUCUAGUGGCCAGAAGAGGCAAAUUGUAGUAAUAAAUAAGAAGGUCCAGAUAGGACGCAUUGAGUCAGUGACAUUUGACCAAAAUUUUGAAAGAGAAGAAAUGUUUCACUAAUUGGAUAUCUGCGAGCGGAGCAUUCCAGGCAGAGGGGACUGCAAGAGCAAAGGCGGUUGCUCAGGAGCCUGCUUGCGGAGACAUCAGGAGCAACGUUAGCAAGAAAAAGGAGGAAAGGCAAAUAGGCAUUUACUUUAAGCAUUACAAACUAGCAAAAUGUCCCAACAAUGAAGAAAUACUUACUUUUAAGAAUAAAAUGAAGAAAAUAUGAGAUCUAAGUGAGCAACUGGGAAGUUUACUCCAACAGAUCUGAGUCAACAUUUACAAAUCCCUAUGCUACACUGAAUAGUUCAGAACUUUGGAACUUCAAGACUCUGGUACAUUCAUCAAGAAAAUAUCUCCAUCCAGGUGUCUGGAUGGGCAGUUUGCAGCUCUUCUGCAGUGGGCCAUUUGCAGCUUUUCUCAGGGGAAAGGCUACACUGUGGGGCUUCUUCAAUCUCAACACACAGAAGAGUAACUGCUAUUGAAUUCACAUUUAAAACAUAGCUAUAUUUUCCAAAUCAGUUUUCCAUGCUAUCAUUUUAUUUGCACUUCAUAAAAAUACCAUAAAGUAGAAAGGACUGAAAAGUAUCAUAUUUAACUUAGGAGGGGGUGAAGGAUACUGGUUGAGUGCAAGGGUGUUGGAGUAGGAAAGACUGAGUCUGAAUCCCAGCUUUGUCAUUUACUGUUUCUUUCUGUAAGUUAUAUAUUCUUUUUUUUUCCUCAGUUCCCCAUUUAUAAAAUAGAAAAAAUGGCACCACCUACUCAUAAGUUUGUUUUGAGAAAUACAGUGUAUGAUACCUGUUAAACACAUUGGAUAAUGCCCAGAUGUAUUAUAUAUUCAAUAAAUGAAAAUUGUUAUUUAUGUUAAUAGUAUUGCUUUUGAAUGGAAAAAUGAUACACAGAGAAGUUAAAAUGAUGUGAAAAAAGCCAAGAGCUGGUUAAUAGCAUAGUUGAAUUUAGAAGUCACUUUAAUUCCUGUAUCCCUAACCUACAAUAUUUCCCUAACCUAUGACAGUAUGUGAUUAAGUGCAAAAUAUAUAGAUAAUAAAAAGUUACAUAAAAGUUUGCAUGACAUGGACAAUCGUAUACUCCAUGUAUUCUACCUUGGAAAACCAAUGAUAAUUCUAAAUUUUACUUGAAGUUUCCUAGCUCCAUAAGCUGUUUACUAGAUAGAAAUCUUUUGUUAUGUAUUUGAAAAAUCAGAUAAUCUAAAAUGUAUCCCCUGGUUGUGACCUGAACUUCUUCGGUCUCAGUGGACAUAAAUAUUCCAAUCUUGUGUACAGUUUAUCUUUGAAUAUAAAUAAAUAUAUGGUUUCUCA
rnacentral:lncRNA from 10 species